rnacentral:rRNA from 1 species
CUCAGGGAGGUAGUGACAAGAAAUAACAACACUGGAAAUUUUAUUUCUAGUGAUUGGAAUGAUGGGAAUUUAAACCCCUUUCAGAGUAACAAUUGGAGGGCAAGUCUGGUGCCAGCAGCCGCGGUAAUUCCAGCUCCAAUAGCGUAUAUUAAAGUUGUUGCAGUUAAAAAGCUCGUAGUUGGAUGUCUGCUGGAAGCAAUCAGUCCGCCCUAUUUGUAGGGUGUGCACUUGAUGAAUUCUGGCAUCUAUGUCCCAAUGAUAUACGCGAUGGCGUUAUUAAUAUAUAGGUUAAUCCUGUAUAUUAUAUACCCAUUUGUGUAAUAUUGGGAUAAUACCGUUACUUUGAGAAAAUUAGAGUGUUUGAAGCAGGCUAAUUGCCUUGAAUACUGCAGCAUGGAAUAACAAUAUAGGAUUUCGGUUCUAUUUUGUUGGUUUCUAGGACUGAAAUAAUGAUUAAUAGGGACAGUUGGGGGCAUUCGUAUUUAACUGUCAGAGGUGAAAUUCUUAGAUUUGUUAAAGACGAACUACUGCGAAAGCAUUUGCCAAAGAUGUUUUCAUUAAUCAAGAACGAAAGUUAGGGGCUCGAAGACGAUCAGAUACCGUCGUAGUCUUAACCAUAAACUAUGCCGACUAGAGAUAGGAAACUGUCAUUUUCUGACUU